rnacentral:lncRNA from 10 species
CCGGUGGCAGCUGAGGCAGGAGAAUGGUGUGAAACCGGGAGGCGGAGCUUGCAGUGAGCCGAGAUGGCACCACUGCACUCCCUCCUGAGCGACACGGCGAGACUCCGUCUCAAAAAAAAAAAAAAAACCAAAGACCUACAACGGAAUUGAAUUCUCCCAAUAACACGUGAGCUCGCGAGAGGAACCCAAACUCUAUAAAGAAAUGCUCCUGGCCUUGAAACCCUGAGCCAAAGAAUGAAGAAAUUCCAGAAUCCUGAAGUACAUCU